rnacentral:rRNA from 1 species
AUUGAACGCUGGCGGCAGGCCUAACACAUGCAAGUCGAGCGGAUGAAGGGAGCUUGCUCCUGGAUUCAGCGGCGGACGGGUGAGUAAUGCCUAGGAAUCUGCCUGGUAGUGGGGGAUAACGUCCGGAAACGGGCGCUAAUACCGCAUACGCCCUGAGGGAGAAAGUGGGGGAUCUUCGGACCCCACGCUAUCAGAUGAGCCUAGGUCGGAUUAGCUAGUUGGUGGGGUAAAGGCCUACCCAGGCGACGCUCCGUAACUGGUCUGAGAGGAUGAUCAGUCACACUGGAACUGAGACACGGUCCAGACUCCUAAGGGAGGCAGCAGUGGGGAAUAUUGGACGAUGGGCGAAAGCCUGAUCCAGCCAUGCCGCGUGUGUGAAGAAGGUCUUCGGAUUGUAAAGCACUUUAAGUUGGGAGGAAGGGCAGUAAGUUAACACCUUGCUGUUUUGACGUUACCAACAGAAUAAGCACCGGCUAACUUCGUG